rnacentral:rRNA from 1 species
UACGAAGGGGGCUAGCGUUGCUCGGAAUCACUGGGCAUAAAGCGCACGUAGGCGGAUUGUUAAGUCAGGGGUGAAAUCCUGGAGCUCAACUCCAGAACUGCCUUUGAUACUGGCGAUCUUGAGUCCGGGAGAGGUGAGUGGAACUCCGAGUGUAGAGGUGAAAUUCGUAGAUAUUCGGAAGAACACCAGUGGCGAAGGCGGCUCACUGGCCCGGUACUGACGCUGAGGUGCGAAAGCGUGGGGAGCAAACAGG